AUGCAAUCGAGCGCGUAGCAAUACGAGCGGCAGACGGGUGAGUAACGCGUGGGAAUCUACCCUUUUCUACGGAAUAACGCAGGGAAACUUGUGCUAAUACCGUAUGAGCCCUUCGGGGGAAAGAUUUAUCGGGAAAGGAUGAGCCCGCGUUGGAUUAGCUAGUUGGUGGGGUAAAGGCCUACCAAGGCGACGAUCCAUAGCUGGUCUGAGAGGAUGAUCAGCCACAUUGGGACUGAGACACGGCCCAAACUCCUACGGGAGGCAGCAGUGGGGAAUAUUGGACAAUGGGCGCAAGCCUGAUCCAGCCAUGCCGCGUGAGUGAUGAAGGCCCUAGGGUUGUAAAGCUCUUUCACCGGUGAAGAUAAUGACGGUAACCGGAGAAGAAGCCCCGGCUAACUUCGUGCCAGCAGCCGCGGUAAUACGAAGGGGGCUAGCGUUGUUCGGAAUUACUGGGCGUAAAGCGCACGUAGGCGGAUUGUUAAGUGAGGGGUGAAAUCCCAGGGCUCAACCCUGGAACUGCCUUUCAUACUGGCAAUCUAGAGUCCGGAAGAGGUGAGUGGAAUUCCGAGUGUAGAGGUGAAAUUCGUAGAUAUUCGGAGGAACACCAGUGGCGAAGGCGGCUCACUGGUCCGGAACUGACGCUGAGGUGCGAAAGCGUGGGGAGCAAACAGGAUUANAUACCCUAA
rnacentral:rRNA from 1 species